CAAAUACCCCCUCCUUCCGAAAAAUCUUGUCCCAAACUUGUCCCUCAAAUGAAUGUAUCUAGCACUAACUUGGUGCUAAAUACAUCCAUUUGAGGGACAAGCUUUUUCGGACGGAGGGAGUAUAUU
rnacentral:pre_miRNA from 1 species